rnacentral:rRNA from 1 species
CAUUUGGAAACAGAUGCUAAUACCGCAUAAAACCUAACACCGCAUGGUGUAGGGUUGAAAGAUGGUUUCGGAAUCACUUUAGGAUGGACCCGCGGUGCAUUAGUUAGUUGGUGAGGUAAAGGCUCACCAAGACCGUGAUGCAUAGCCGACCUGAGAGGGUAAUCGGCCACACUGGGACUGAGACACGGCCCAGACUCCUACGGGAGGCAGCAGUAGGGAAUCUUCCACAAAUGACGAAAGUCUGAUGGAGCAACGCCGCGUGAGUGAAGAAGGUUUUCGGAUCGUAAAACUCUGUUGUUGGAGAAGAAUGUAUCUGAUAGUAACUGAUCAGGUAGUGACGGUAUCCAACCAGAAAGCCACGGCUAACUACGUGCCAGCAGCCGCGGUAAUACGUAGGUGGCAAGCGUUGUCCGGAUUUAUUGGGCGUAAAGCGAGCGCAGGCGGUUUCUUAAGUCUGAUGUGAAAGCCUUCGGCUCAACCGAAGAAGUGCAUCGGAAACUGGGAAACUUGAGUGCAGAAGAGGACAGUGGAACUCCAUGUGUAGCGGUGAAAUGCGUAGAUAUAUGGAAGAACACCAGUGGCGAAGGCGGCUGUCUGGUCUGUAACUGACGCUGAGGCUCGAAAGCAUGGGUAGCAAACAGGAUUAGAUACCCUGGUAGUCCAUGCCGUAAACGAUGAGUGCUAGGUGUUGGAGGGUUUCCGCCCUUCAGUGCCGCAGCUAACGCAUUAAGCACUCCGCCUGGGGAGUACGACCGCAAGGUUGAAACUCAAAGGAAUUGACGGGGGCCCGCACAAGCGGUGGAGCAUGUGGUUUAAUUCGAAGCAACGCGAAGAACCUUACCAGGUCUUGACAUCCUUUGACCACUCUAGAGAUAGAGCUUUCCCUUCGGGGACAAAGUGACAGGUGGUGCAUGGUUGUCGUCAGCUCGUGUCGUGAGAUGUUGGGUUAAGUCCCGCAACGAGCGCAACCCUUAUUACUAGUUGCCAGCAUUUAGUUGGGCACUCUAGUGAGACUGCCGGUGACAAACCGGAGGAAGGUGGGGACGACGUCAAAUCAUCAUGCGCCUUAUGACCUGGGCUACACACGUGCUACAAUGGAUGGUACAACGAGUUGCGAGACCGCGAGGUUUAGCUGCCUCUUAAAACCAUUCUCAGUUCGGAUUGUAGGCUGCAACUCGCCUACAUGAAGCCGGAAUCGCUAGUAAUCGCGGAUCAGCAUGCCGCGGUGAAUACGUUCCCGGGCCUUGUACACACCGCCCGUCACACCAUGAGAGUUUGUAACACCCAAAGCCGGUGAG